UAAGUCCCCUACAAGAACCAGGGCCUAUUACUUUGGGACAGCUUCUAGUUGCCUGGAGAAGGUCUCAUCUAAUUCCUCCUCCUGAUCAGGUGGCCUGAGAUGCCAAAUGAUGGGCAAGACCCUCAGCUGGACUAAGCACAUGAGCCUCAGGUUCAGCAUUUUACAGACUACCCGAAAGGAAAACGCCUUCCAAGAAAAGUGAGACUGCCAGAAACAGGCCCUGAGAUAAUCC